rnacentral:rRNA from 1 species
CUUUACUGUAGCCUGGUAUUGGGUUCGGGCUUUGACUGCGCAGGAUAGGUGGGAGACUGAGAAGUGUGCCUUGUGGGGCACAUAGGGUCAACGGUGAGAUACCACUCUGUCAGAGCUAGAAUUCUAACCUUCACCCGUGAUCCGGGGAAGGAACCGUAUCAGGUGGGCAGUUUGACUGGGGCGGUCGCCUCCUAAAAGGUAACGGAGGCGCGCAAAGGUGUUCUCAGGCUGGUUGGAAAUCAGCCGUAGAGUGUAAGGGCAGAAGAACGCUUGACUGUGAGAGUGACAACUCGAGCAGGGUGGAAACACGGCCUUAGUGAUCCGACGGUAUGUGCGUGGAAAUGCCGUCGCUCAACGGAUAAAAGUUA